rnacentral:lncRNA from 1 species
GCCCUCCACAUUUUGCAAAUAGUUAUUUUCUUGCUUCGAUAACCAUGUUAGAUCCAUCUGAUAAUUUUUGGCGAUCUUACAGUAAAACCCCGGUGAUUUAGGCUGAUCAAUCAUCAUUCUUUAUGUUAAAGUCACAUUUUCAAAUGCCAUCAAUGUCUCCCACGCAGUCUUUUUUUUUCCUUUUCAAGCAAACAGAGAACCGUAUCACCACCGG